ensembl:processed_transcript
ACACUGUAAAAAAAAUCUGUAAAAUAACAGUUAAAUGACUGUAUAUUUUAACAGAUUUUUUUCCGUAUACACGUAUUACGGGUGUUUUUCCGUUUAUAUACAUUUUCGAAUUGCAUUGUGGGAAGGGGAUCGCAGCUCAGACAGCGUUUGAUGGACACCGGGACAUAUUUCUUCCUCUGUUUUUUCCCUGUUGUUUGUCCGUAUUUUUCUAAACUGCCGUGCGCGGGAAGUGGCGUGACGUCCAAUCACCCACUCACUCCCUCUGCACCUGACUGGAUUAACGGUAAACGUCAGUUUGUCUGUAAGAGUGUAAAAGGUGUGUUGGUGUAAAAAUUGAUGCUGACUGAACUCAGGCAGUUGUGCUGGACCCUCUGUACCGUAUACAGGAGAUGACUGUAAACUUUCAAGUUUAAGAG